rnacentral:lncRNA from 1 species
AUGCUACUAAAGAGCUACUGAAAUAGACUCAAUGGCAGCUAUAAUGCCCAACAGAAGCAGCGAUGCCUGGUGCACAUAGCAGGUUGCUAGCAGGAGUCGCCUGGGGUGAUUCACCUGUCUUGUUGGUGAGGAUAUGGACAUCAUCUGGGGACUCUCAGAAAUCCCUGAAGUGAUAUAGAGUCCCACAUGAGCUUGCCUGUGGUGUUUUACAAACCAAUAACGUAGUGUUCAUAAACCAAAGUCACUUGGAGGCUUCAGAAUUGUAAAAUAUUCUCAAGAAGGUUUUCAGGCCGGCUUAUACCUGGAAAAACUUACAGAUCUACUUGAAGCCUCUCUAAGCUCCCGGACUAGUAAAUUUCCAAAAAAUCAGCUUGCAAGAUGAUUUCCCGUUGGGUC